UGUGUGUGUGCACGCUGGCCAUGUGCUGUGUUUGGACUCCUCCUUGUCCCUUGUGAGACUGUGUGAGCGAAUGUGUGUGUCCAGUCAAGAGAAAGUGAAUGACAGCGUGGACACUGCAGGCUGUUACCCAAGACCAGAUGAGACGAAAUGAGACGAGAUGAGAUGCAGGCCACAGCUUUCGUCUUCUAAACGAUCUGCACUAAUCGGCAGGAAGUUUUUUACUACAGUGGAUGAAACUUUGACAAACCAAAGAUCAACACCAAUGAGAGAAGAAACACCGAUAUGGCAGUGAGGAUGCUUUACUUCAACUUCAACCUACAUGACAACCAGAAUCCGCUAUGUUUUUUGGUAGACCUUUCAUAUCCACUGCAGGGCAAAAGGCAGGAGUGCACUCUGAGUAGGAUGGAAAGUCCAGACAACCCUUAACUGUGAGGCUGUGAUGCUUUUCAGUUUUUAGUGGACCACCCUCUAACUAGGGAAAAGUUUUUAACGAGAUAUUUCCCGUUACACACUGAUGAUAUUCCACUGCGAAACGAACCCGACUGUUUCAACGCAUUACAGUGGAAGUGCUGCAGCGGCUCUGGUGAUGUAAAUGAAGCCGACGACCGCGUCCUCUCUCUCUCUCUCUUCCUCUCUCUCUCUCUAAUAAAGGUUUAUGGCUGUUGGUAGGAGGUCGAAGCGCCGCAGCGUCUCACACGUCUCAGUUUCUGGGGUUCUGUGGAGAUGUUAUAAAACAAGCUUUCCUUGGCACGAUGCAUUUUUCGUAUACUCCCUCAAGGACGCCAGAAGGAGUUUUGGCCCGUCUCGCUCCAGACAAUUUUCAUUCCUCUGUGGAAUCGUCCCCCAUUCCCAUCCCUGCUCCUUGGAGAAGGCGUGUUCUCUGUCCCUGGAAGGUCAUUCAUUAGAAAAAAAAAACACUGUACUGUCACUGCAAUAAAAUCUCCUGUUUUUCUUUUUCUUAUUUAGGAACCAGUCUUUUGAUGCUUUUUGUAACCACUAAUACAUUACUACAUUUUCCUAUAUGGUUUCUUUAACCUUUUGACAUUUGUAUCCCACAGUUAUAACAUUCAAUUCCUAAAGCUAAUAACCAUUAGAGUCUCACCUCUCCUAUCCCCUAUGCCUCUCUCAUUGUGCUGAGAUGGAGAUCUUUUGGGUGGUGAUGGUGGUGCUUUUGCGAUUGGUGAAAAUAAAAGAUACCUAAGGAGUAUGGAGGUGAUAGGUCAGUGGUUAGGGCAUUGGAGGUCGACUUAGGUCACGAGUUUAAAUCCCAGCACAACCAAGCUGUCAGUGCUGGGCCCUUGAGCAAGGAGUGUAGUAACUCUCAAUUGCUCAGUCACUUUGGAUGCGGGUGUCUUUCGAAUGCCAUAAAUGUAAAUGCUUAAAGACCUCAGCAUGUGUUUUAUCACGAUUGUGUAUGUUUUUUUUAUUUGAUUAUUGCCCCAUUGCUUUAUUCUUACACCUCUGUUCUGGGGAUUCAGUUACAUUUACAUUUUUGCCAUUCAGCAGACGUCCUUAUCCAGAACAACAACUGAGCAGCUGAGGGUUAAGGGCUCAGCAGUGUCAUACCACUGAACUACCCCCUUUUCCUA